rnacentral:rRNA from 1 species
UACGUAGGGGGCUAGCGUUGUCCGGAUUUAUUGGGCGUAAAGAGCGUGUAGGCGGCCAUGUAGGUCCGGUGUGAAAACUCGAGGCUUAACCUCGAGAUGUCAUCGGAAACCAUUUGGCUAGAGUCCGGAAGAGGAGAGUGGAAUUCCUGGUGUAGCGGUGAAAUGCGCAGAUAUCAGGAAGAACACCAAUGGCGAAAGCAGCUCUCUGGGACGGUACUGACGCUGAGACUCGAAAGCGUGGGGAGCAAACAGG